rnacentral:lncRNA from 10 species
GUUGGCACUCAUGCUUUUUACUUUUCCUCCCUCAGAGAGACCUCCUGCUAGGUGAGUCCCAGGCUCUAAGAAAUAUCCUACCUUAAAUCAAGCGGAGAAUUAAAUCAGGAACAACAAAACUACUACUUCUGAGAGAGAAAGAUAUUGCUUGUAAUUUUUGGCUUAAGGAAUUCAUUUUCUUGAGAAGAAAGUAUUCUUGGUGAACUCUAAGAAUAGAAAACUAUCAAUUUACAACUAGGACACAUGGAUUUCUCCAAGAGUUAACAUAAUGCCUAACAAAUAAGAGAAUAAAAAGAACUGCCCAAAUCCACUGUUUGAAGCAGAAAGGAAAUGAAGAUAUUUGGCUGUAGCCAGUAUGUAAUUCAGAUUGGCAUCAUUGUACUGGGGCACCACUGAGAAGAAAUGUGUCCUCUGCAAGCCAGCAGCCUGUGGAAACCAGCCGCAAUGCAAUCAAUCAACAUUGAGGGCCAAAAGCUAUUGCUUCCCUUUCUCUCAUAGAACAAACAGCUCAAGACCCCUAUAAAGUAGGCUUAUAGCUCCAACAAAAACUGAAAAGUUUAUAACAAGUGGUACCACCUGUGCUUAUGUCUCAGCGUAGCCAAAAUAAUUUCCUCUCCUGGGUCUCCUAUGGCAAAGGGUGAGGAAUGUGACAGUGAGAAUGCAAAGAGGAAGAGGUGCCAACAAGGAGCCUGUAGAGUGAGUGGAUUAUCUUUGUGCUAGCAGAGAGAUCAGCAAGUCUGUCUCCUUUACUCUGGAGCAACUGUGUGUGAUAUGAUCUCCCAUCCCCUAUCAAAAAGGCUCUGUCUUCAGAAAAACAAAAGACUUCUCUGCUCAAUGUUGUUCUCUCACAUGAUUGAGUAUUUUUUUGUUAACAAUGUUGUAUUAUUACAAUCCUGUGUAAAACUGGGAAUAUGGAGCUUGUAUUAAAAACACAAUAAAGAAAACAGCUUUGUACAAGCUAGUAUUUUGGCCAUAAUUAUACUUUUCUCUGUCUUCUCAAUGAAUAAGAAAAUUUUGGGCCAGGUAUCUGCACAAAGCGUGAUAGAACUAGGAUAAAAUAGCACAUCC